rnacentral:rRNA from 1 species
UGCUCAGGAUGAACGCUGGCGGCGUGCCUAAUACAUGCAAGUCGAGCGAACGGACGAGAAGCUUGCUUCUCUGAUGUUAGCGGCGGACGGGUGAGUAACACGUGGAUAACCUACCUAUAAGACUGGGAUAACUUCGGGAAACCGGAGCUAAUACCGGAUAAUAUUUUGAACCGCAUGGUUCAAAAGUGAAAGACGGUCUUGCUGUCACUUAUAGAUGGAUCCGCGCUGCAUUAGCUAGUUGGUAAGGUAACGGCUUACCAAGGCAACGAUGCAUAGCCGACCUGAGAGGGUGAUCGGCCACACUGGAACUGAGACACGGUCCAGACUCCUACGGGAGGCAGCAGUAGGGAAUCUUCCGCAAUGGGCGAAAGCCUGACGGAGCAACGCCGCGUGAGUGAUGAAGGUCUUCGGAUCGUAAAACUCUGUUAUUAGGGAAGAACAUAUGUGUAAGUAACUGUGCACAUCUUGACGGUACCUAAUCAGAAAGCCACGGCUAACUACGUGCCAGCAGCCGCGGUAAUACGUAGGUGGCAAGCGUUAUCCGGAAUUAUUGGGCGUAAAGCGCGCGUAGGCGGUUUUUUAAGUCUGAUGUGAAAGCCCACGGCUCAACCGUGGAGGGUCAUUGGAAACUGGAAAACUUGAGUGCAGAAGAGGAAAGUGGAAUUCCAUGUGUAGCGGUGAAAUGCGCAGAGAUAUGGAGGAACACCAGUGGCGAAGGCGACUUUCUGGUCUGUAACUGACGCUGAUG